GACGAACGCUGGCGGCAUGCCUAAUACAUGCAAGUCGAGCGAACAGAUGAAGUGCUUGCACUUCUGACGUUAGCGGCGAACGGGUGAGUAACACGUAAGGAAUCUACCUAUAAGCGGGGGAUAACAUUCGGAAACGGGUGCUAAUACCGCAUAAUAUCUUCUUCCGCAUGGAAGAAGAUUGAAAGACGGCUCUGCUGUCACUUAUAGAUGACCUUGCGGUGCAUUAGUUAGUUGGUGGGGUAACGGCCUACCAAGACGAUGAUGCAUAGCCGACCUAGUAGGGUGAUCGGCGAGCUUAGGACGCGGACACGGCCACAACGCCUACGGGAGGCAGCAGUAGGGAAGUUUCCGCAAUGGGCGAAAGCCUGACGGAGCAAUGCCGCGUGAGUGAAGAAGGCCUUCGGGUCGUAAAACUCUGUUAUAAGAGAAGAACAAAUUGUAGAGUAACUGCUACAGUCUUGACGGUAUCUUAUCAGAAAGCCACGGCUAACUACGUGCCAGCCGCCGCCGUAA
rnacentral:rRNA from 1 species